CGCCGGUGAUCGCCGAAUCCGUGCAGCAAGGAGGCACGGAACCGGGGAACCAGUCGACCUUCGCCCGAAGGUCUGGGGUGAAUCGGCGCGCCAUGCGCCGUAGGGCGUCUUCCCUGCCCGAAUCCGUCAGCUAACCCGGUAGGCGCAAGCGGAAGACUCG
rnacentral:sRNA from 2 species